AGAGGUUUGAUCAUGGCUCAGAACGAACGCUGGCGGCGUGCCUAACACAUGCAUGUCGUACGAGAAAGUCCCUUCGGGGAUGAGUAAAGUGGCGCAUGGGUGAGUAACACGUAGGUAACCUGCCUCUAAGACCGGAAUAACUUGUCGAAAGACGGGCUAAUGCCGGAUAAGACCACAGGAGCUUCGGCUCCAGCGGUCAAAGGUGGCCUCUGCUUGCAUGCUAUCGCUAAGAGAUGGGCCUGCGGACCAUUAGCUAGUUGGUAGUGGUAACGGCCUACCAAGGCAAAGAUGGUUAGCUGGUCUGAGAGGAUGGUCAGCCACACUGGGACUGAGACACGGCCCAGACUCCUACGGGAGGCAGCAGUGGGGAAUAUUGGGCAAUGGGCGAAAGCCUGACCCAGCAACGCCGCGUGGGUGAUGAAGGCCUUCGGGUCGUAAAGCCCUGUCGGAAGGAAAGAAUUCUUCUGGGGUGAAUAAUCCCAGAAAUUGACGGUACCUUCNAAAGGAAGCACCGGGCUACUUCCGUGCCAGCAGCCGCGGUAAGACGGAGGGUGCUAGCUGUUUGUUCGGAAUC
rnacentral:rRNA from 1 species